rnacentral:misc_RNA from 1 species
GAACUCGAAAACGACGACAACGGUGAGAAUAGCCCAGAUUGAAUACUGGCCUACUUCUUUCAAAGGCUGUCGAAAGAAAAUGACGAGUGAAGCGAGCGCAAGCGACAACCCCAUCUUCGCGGCAAAGAAGAACUUGCGGGGAUCGGAGUGACCCAUUUCGUACAACUUGACGGUAGUAUCUUGUAAGCCUUUCCAUAAGUUGGUGACCACAUCGGAAACUGUACGGAAACAACGACAUUUGACAUUGUCACCGGCGCCGUCGCAGUUAUUUAGGCCUAAAUCGGAAUAGCCCUUGCGAGAUAAGAGUUUUUCCCUAUUCUGGUCUAGAAAACUCUGCCGGAUUGAUCCAGAUUUUCCUGCCAUCUCUUCAUCAACAAUCGAAACGAGAA